GGAAGCAGGACUACGAUCUCCUGGUGAUUGGUGGGGGUUCUGGUGGCUUGGCUUGUGCCAAGGAAGCUGCUCAGCUGGGAAAGAAGGUGGCCGUGGUAGACUACGUGGAGCCUUCUCCCCGAGGCACCAGCUGGGGCCUCGGCGGCACGUGUGUGAACGUUGGCUGCAUCCCCAAGAAGCUGAUGCACCAGGCAGCGCUGCUGGGGGGCAUGAUUCGCGACGCCCCCCACUACGGCUGGGAUGUGGCCCAGCCGGUCCAGCAUGACUGGAAGAAAAUGGCAGAAGCUGUUCAAAAUCAUGUGAAAUCCCUGAACUGGGGGCACCGAGUCCAGCUGCAGGAUAGAAAAGUCAAGUACUUUAACAUCAAGGCCAGCUUUGUCAACGAGCACACGAUUUCCGGUGUCACUAAAGGUGGGAAGGAGACUUUGCUUUCUGCUGAGCACAUCGUCAUUGCUACUGGAGGACGACCGAAGUAUCCCACCCACAUCGAAGGUGCCUUGGAAUAUGGAAUUACAAGUGAUGACAUCUUCUGGCUGAAAGACUCCCCUGGAAAAACGUUGGUGGUCGGGGCCAGCUAUGUGGCCCUGGAGUGUGCUGGCUUCCUCACUGGGCUCGGACUGGACACCACUGUCAUGAUGAGAAGCAUCCCUCUUCGGGGCUUUGACCAGCAAAUGUCUUCCUUGGUCACAGAGUACAUGGCCUCUCAAGGCACCCAUUUCCUGAAGCACUGUAUCCCCUCAAGAGUGCAGAAGCUUCCAGAUGGCCAGCUCCAGGUCACCUGGGAGGACCUCACCUCCGGCAUAGAGAAUGUGGGCACCUUUGACACUGUCCUGUGGGCCAUAGGUCGAAUUCCAGAAACCAGAAGUCUGAAUUUGGAGAAUGCUGGAAUAAACACUAACCCCAACAGUCAGAAGAUCCUGGUCGAUGCUCAGGAAGCCACUUCCGUCCCCCACAUUUAUGCCAUCGGAGACGUAGCAGAGGGGCGGCCCGAGCUGACACCCACGGCUAUAAUGGCAGGAAAGCUCUUGGCCCAGCGGCUGUGCGGUCAGUCCUCGGAUGUGAUGGAUUACAGCAACGUCCCCACCACAAUCUUCACCCCACUGGAGUAUGGCUGCGUGGGGCUGUCAGAGGAGGAGGCCAUUGCUCACUAUGGAGAAGAGCAUGUGGAGGUUUAUCAUGCAUAUUAUAAACCACUGGAAUUCACAGUGGCUGAACGGGAUGCAUCUCAGUGUUACAUAAAGGUUCGGGGCCUCCUACAAGCAGGUGAUGCAGACGGUGGGCAUCCACCCCACCUGCGCGGAGGAGGUGGUCAAGCUACGCAUCUCCAAGCGCUCGGGCCUGGACCCCACAGUGACGGGCUGCUGAGGGUAGGCAGCCAUCCCUGCAGUUCAAGGGCACACAGCGUGCCUGCUGCCCCCCACAACCAGGCUCUUCUGAGGCUCAGAUCCAGAAGGUGGAGAUGCUGCCUUAUGCACGGCAGCCACUGCACAUCUGGUUCUGUUGGAGCUUUGCAAAGUCGGGCUGGGAAGGUGGCAGCCGGAAGCCUCGGGUACAUUCAUCCCAGCCCUCUUCUGAGGCGGAAGAAAUUAGUGAGACUACCCUGACCCCUGCUAAAAGGUUGUAUGUGGUCAGAGCCUACUCAGCUGUCGGUGUGAGCGUGUCCUCCAAGCUUCCAUGGCCCGGUGUCUGGGGUGUCUGCUGUGGCUGUCAGCCCCUCCUGGGGUUCAGGUCCUGAGAGCUAACGCAGACUAUAGACAGAGCGGAUGCCAGAGGCCAAGCCUGGGCAAGCCUCACCUCUGCCUGGAGAGCCCCUGAGAUCGUCAGUGUGGGUGGCAUUUGGACAGAAUCCCCUGUG